rnacentral:tmRNA from 1 species
GUCGGGUUCGCCCGACUAUGGGGAUAAACGCGCGCGAAAUAAGCGGACUGGACCCGGGUGCGAUUCCCGGCGGCUCCACCA